rnacentral:rRNA from 1 species
UUUAACUGAAGAGUUUGAUCAUGGCUCAGAUUGAACGCUGGCGGCAGGCUUAACACAUGCAAGUCGAGCGGGGGAAGGUAGCUUGCUACUGGACCUAGCGGCGGACGGGUGAGUAAUGCUUAGGAAUCUGCCUAUUAGUGGGGGACAACAUCUCGAAAGGGAUGCUAAUACCG